GAGCGACGCGGUGGUACAAGCUCCAGCAUGUCACACUGCGGCGCCAAUCUAUGUACCCUCCUCAUCUUGGAGUUGUCGAUGUAGGACUCUCAAUCGUACAACAAUUGCGUAUGCAAUCAAAGUCACCUCGUCAAUACUAAAGCCGCCGUGUCCUGCUGACAGCCAUACCUGAGCACCUGGUUGGACAAGUGCAGCUGGUAUCAGGAUCAUGCGAGUUACUGGCUCCGCCAAAGGAAAUAGUCCUAGACCUGCCAAUCGCUCACUUUCCGAGGCAACGCCAAGAAAUUGAUAGAAAUUGUUCAGGGAGGGAGAUACAGAAGCACCUACAGGUUUUCGUAAGCGUAGGAUAACGUGGGUUAGGUGUGGUGCAACAAGGCGAAAAUAUGCUAUAUGAUGUUAAGUGAGUAAGACAAGGCUGAAACUUUGUUGAGAUUUCCUUGCGACGACGUUGAAUGCAACGAAAACAAUGCAAAGGAACAGGGGUGAU